CACCGCUUUAAAAUGGCUGCAAGUGUUACAAGAGGGGCAAGACACAGCGCUACUUCUCACUUUGUGUUACGAAACCUUUGCUGCAGGAUUGUUGAAUGUGGUGGCGUUGGUGCCCUGAAGGGAUGUGUGUGAUUUCUUAAACUGAUGUGCUUUGAUUCACAUGAGGGGGCUUUCAGUAUAUGCCUGUUUGGUUUGUCUACGUGCAGGAUGGGAAUGCAGUGGCGGGUACAUAUAUUAGAGCUGAACAUGGGUUUGACGAUUACAAUGGUUGGGAAUUACGGGGACAACACAAUGUGUAGAGUCACAGAGGCUUGAAGCUUUAGAGCUCUUCAUAAUCAAAUCUGUUGCAAGGGUUGGGAUUUCGCUCCAAUUGGCCAUCGCGUGAUCGACGGUUGAUUCUUCUACCUCACGGAUUUAGAGGUUCAUUGCACGAUGCGUACCCAUCGCGUGUGUAAUCUGACCUUCAGAGCACUGGGACUUGUCAGGAAUUCCUCUCAGAACCUGAGAUCUUACAGAGUGUUUGAAAUGUAAGAUGGUCGCACCACAGGGUUUCGCGGCCUCAGCCGCAUACUGUGAUGAGAAAAGCAUACUCUGAGCUGAUUUUGAUAAUUCAAUCUGCCCCGCAGCGCCUCGAGCAUGAGCACUAGCAAGAGAAAGCUUACAAUUCAAGCAAGAACCAUGGUCAAACAGAUUAAGAAACAUGAGACAAUCACAGCAACAAUGGAUUCGAAUAGAUAUGGAGCUUCUAGCAUUAAAAGCCCUUCUAAGAAUUCCACUCUGUUUUGUUCGAAAACUACACGAGUGAAACAAGCUAUGUGCUCUUCGUUAGUGUCCGUAUUUUUUCUUUCUUUCUUUCCUACUUGCUUUCUUUUUCC